rnacentral:rRNA from 1 species
GACGAACGCUGGCGGCGCGCCUAACACAUGCAAGUCGAACGAGCGAGAGAGAGCUUGCUUUCUUGAGCGAGUGGCGAACGGGUGAGUAACGCGUGAGGAACCUGCCUCAAAGAGGGGGACAACAGUUGGAAACGACUGCUAAUACCGCAUAAGCCCACGGUGCCGCCUGGCACAGAGGGAAAAGGAGCAAUCCGCUUUGAGAUGGCCUCGCGUCCGAUUAGCUAGUUGGUGAGGUAACGGCCCACCAAGGCGACGAUCGGUAGCCGGACUGAGAGGUUGAACGGCCACAGUGGGAAUGAGACACGGCCCAGACUCCUACGGGAGGCAGCAGUGGGGAAUAUUGCACAAUGGGGGAAACCCUGAUGCAGCGACGCCGCGUGGAGGAAGAAGGUCUUCGGAUUGUAAACCCCUGUUGUUGGGGAAGAUAAUGACGGUACCCAACAAGGAAGUGACGGCUAACUACGUG